AGCCCCGUAGUGUAGCGGUACGUGAAUCUCGGAUUCAUGCGCGAACAAUCAUUCAGCCCUUUGGAGGCUGAGACCUCGGUUCGAAUCCGAGCGGGGCUA
rnacentral:tRNA from 1 species